UGGCUGUGAUGACAAAAAUUCCGUUUCUCGGUGCUGAUACUUGAUUUAUUCAAGGACCAAGAAUGUGAUGAGCUUUGUGCGUGUCUGAGCCCA